UGAGUGCAUCUGGGGCUGGGAUCGCAUGGCAGGACGCAGGCCAGAGACCAUAACCCGGACAGAGACAGGUGGGAUAGGAGAAGGAAAAGGAGAUACCCCACAGGGUGAGGGGCAAAACAGAGCCAGUAGCAGGGCGGACAAAUACCUGCUAGACUGCGGCAGCUAUAAAGCUACCUGCGCAUAUAUCGCCCUUCAAAGGAAUGGAGGACGACAAAACUAGAGUGAAAAAACUAAACACCAUGCCGAGCGUAGGAAAAGGGAGAACCAAGGAAGCUACGCAUUGCUGGUUUGACACUGCAUGAGUGAUAAAGGCCAGUGAUGAUGAAACGACCAGGCUUCUCGGACCGAGAAGUAGGAGCUCUGGAUUUGUUGCCGACUGCACAAUGUAAUUCCAGUCUUAAUCACACGAAACCAGGCAAGUUUACUUGAUACAAGCUGUUAUGAGCAA